rnacentral:rRNA from 1 species
CCUACGGGAGGCAGCAGUGGGGAAUAUUGGGCAAUGGAGGAAACUCUGACCCAGCGACGCCGCGUGCGGGAUGAAGGCCUUCGGGUUGUAAACCGCUUUCAGCAGGGAAGAAGCGAAAGUGACGGUACCUGCAGAAGAAGCACCGGCUAACUAUGUGCCAGCAGCCGCGGUAAUACAUAGGGUGCAAGCGUUGUCCGGAAUUAUUGGGCGUAAAGAGCUCGUAGGUGGUUCGUCACGUCGGAUGUGAAAAUCUGGGGCUUAACCCCAGACCUGCAUUCGAUACGGGCGAGCUUGAGUAUGGUAGGGGAGUCUGGAAUUCCUGGUGUAGCGGUGGAAUGCGCAGAUAUCAGGAGGAACACCAAUGGCGAAGGCAGGACUCUGGGCCAUUACUGACACUGAGGAGCGAAAGCGUGGGGAGCGAACAGGAUUAGAUACCCUGGUAGUCCACGCCGUAAACGGUGGGCACUAGUUGUGGGGACCUUCCACGGUCUCUGCGACGCNGCUACGCAUAGUGCCCGCCGUGGGAGACGNGUCGCAGAAUUAAACGUUAAAGUAAGUUAGACGGCGUGAGACGUGCCGACGGACGACGACGAGGGAGGUUAGG